UACAGAGGGUGCGAGCGUUGUCCGGAAUCACUGGGCGUAAAGGGCGCGUAGGUGGCGCCGCAAGUCCAUGGUGAAAGCUCGAUGCUCAACAUCGAGUCGGCCACGGAGACUGCGGGGCUCGAGCACUGUAGGGGCAGAUGGAAUUCCUGGUGUAGCGGUGAAAUGCGCAGAUAUCAGGAGGAACACCAAUUGCGAAGGCAGCUCGCUGGGACGUAACUGACGCUGAGACGCGAAAGCGUGGGGAGCAAACAGG
rnacentral:rRNA from 1 species